rnacentral:rRNA from 1 species
CGGUGACGAGUGGCGGACGGGUGAGUAAUGUCUGGGGAACUGCCCGAUGGAGGGGGAUAACUACUGGAAACGGUAGCUAAUACCGCAUAACCUCUCAAGAGCAAAGAGGGGGACCUUCGGGCCUCUUGCCAUCAGAUGUGCCCAUAUGGGAUUAGCUAGUAGGUGGGGUAACGGCUCACCUAGGCGACGAUCCCUAGCUGGUCUGAGAGGAUGAGCAGCCACACUGGAACUGAGACACGGUCCAGACUCCUACGGGAGGCAGCAGUGGGGAAUAUUGCACAAUGGGCGCAAGCCUGAUGCAGCCAUGCCGCGUGUAUGAAGAAAGCCUUCGGGUUGUAAAGUACUUUCAGCGGGGAGGAAAGUGUUGUGGUUAAUAUCAUCAUCGAUUGACGUUACCCGCAGAAGAAGCACCGGCUAACUCCGUGCCAGCAGCCGCGGUAAUACGGAGGGUGCAAGCGUUAAUCGGAAUUACUGGGCGUAAAGCGCACGCACGCGGUCUGUCAAGUCAGAUGUGAAAUCCCCGGGCUCAACCUGGGAACUGCAUUUGAGACUGGGAGGCUAGAGUCUUGUAUAGGGGGGUAGAAUUCCAUGUGUAGCGGUGAAAUGCGUAUAGAUCUGGAGGAAUACCGGUGGCGAAGGCGGCCCCCUGGACAAAGACUGACGCUCAGGUGCGAAAGCGUGUGGAGCAAACAGGAUUAGAUACCCUGGUAGUCCACGCCGUAAACGAUGUCGAUUUGGAGGUUGUGCCCUUGAGGAGUGGCUUUCGGAGCUAACGCGUUAUAUCGACCGCCUGGGGAGUA